GGCCAGACUCCUACGGGAGGCAGCAGUGGGGAAUAUUGCACAAUGGGGGAAACCCUGAUGCAGCGACGCCGCGUGAGCGAUGAAGUAUUUCGGUAUGUAAAGCUCUAUCAGCAGGGAAGAAGAUGACGGUACCUGACUAAGAAGCCCCGGCUAACUACGUGCCAGCAGCCGCGGUAAUACGUAGGGGGCGAGCGUUAUCCGGAUUCACUGGGUGUAAAGGGAGCGUAGACGGCCGUGCAAGCCAGGAGUGGAAGCCCGGGGCCCAACCCCGGGACUGCUCUUGGAACUGUGCGGCUGGAGUGCGGGAGGGGCAGGCGGAAUUCCUGGUGUAGCGGUGAAAUGCGUAGAUAUCAGGAGGAACACCAGUGGCGAAGGCGGUCUGCUGGACAGUAACUGACGGUGAGGCGCGAAAGCGUGGGGAGCAGACAGGAUUAGAUACCCUAGUA
rnacentral:rRNA from 1 species